rnacentral:lncRNA from 1 species
UAGGACUGCAUGAUAAUCUACCUGUGGCAAUUUCCUUGUUGGCUAAGCAUGGUUCAGAUGGGUUCUUGCUCAACCUUGUCGAGACUCUUCACGACACCCUUAAAGAAGAGCUUCAAGAAUGAGUUAAAAAGUUACUAAACUGGGAUUUCCAACAAUCUCUCUGUAAGUUUUAUGUCAUUCUCCAGCCUAACAAAAAAAAAAAACUGAGCAUAAAAGCCUAUUGCGUAUGCACUUCAUGCUCCCUCAUGCUUGCUUCUCAAAUCUCGUUCUUCUUCAGGUGCCAUUGUUGGAAAUUCAGAUGAUGAAAUAUGGGGGUUUGUGUAUGAUUAAAUGUAGUUACUUCUCCUAUGAGAAAAAUAGUUGAAAAAUGCAACAUAUGAGCAGUAUGUAAUCCUGUUGUUGAUGUAGAAUUGAAAAGCAAUUCUAAUAUAUGAUAUAUACUAGGAAAGAUUAUGGGAGUUGCAAUUGAUUGAGACGUCUGAUUAUUGUUAAUGUUUAAUUCUUCAGAAUGAAUACACUUUGUAAUGAACUCCAUCUAUUAUUUAUUAAUUGUUAGUGGGUGUUGGUUGAUUAACUUUAUGAAUGAGACAAGAAAAUUAUUUAAAAUAUGAUGAUUAUAUAUUUACAAUUUAAUAAGUGACGAAAAAUGAUAAAAUGGGAGUUGAGACAUUAUAAAUUAAUCACUUUAAUGAGGAAAGGUGAAAGAACAAAUAAAAACAUUGUGGUAAAAGGAAACUAUUCAUAAAGCGACCUUCAGACUGCACGCGCUUGUUGAACGCUUGUUGAACACGCACUAUUCAAAUGCAAACUAAGUUGCAAUCCAAGUUCCCAAGCCCUAUCACACAAUUGGUCGCAGGAGUAAUUAGUAAUGAUUUAUUUUUUGAAACUGGAAUUUCAUUAAUUGGAAAAACUACAUAUUUUUAUCCUUAUAUACAUAAGUGGAAAUCUCACUUGGAGGUUCCUCUAUCCAUACUUGCUCUAUAGGAUGAUAGAGAGCUAGUUUCGCAAGAUGAUGCGCCAGCGUCGCCUCAUUACAAGUUCGUGGAGCAAAGAGCACUUGUACAGUGCUAUGCGAGGAAGUCAGAGCUUCUUGUAUUUCGGAGAUUACCCACCCCACUUCGCACCUGCUUGCAAUUUUGUUUCCUAUGAGAUUGACUUCAUUGAGAGAAUCAGAUUCGAUUAUGGCCGGAGUCAACCCAAUGUCGCUCGUUAGCCUAAGUCCUUUCUACACAGUAAGGGCUUCCACAAAUUCUACAUGUUGAUGCGAGAUUCUGGUUAUGCUCGUUCUACGACCAGGAUAUCUGCUCGAUCAACCUCACCUCGAUCAGGAUCUCUCCUCGUAUGCUUUCUUCUCCAAGUAUCCCUGCGUUCACAGAAACGAGUCAGAGCACGCCGGUUGUUUUCCCGGCGUAAACCCUCCGACGCUCAAGUCAGAUGUGAAGGCUCUGGGAACGCUUGCCACAGAUCUUAUGGCUUGUCUAUAAUCUCAGUUCUUAGAGUUCUAUUUUCUUAGUUCAAAAAUCAAAAAUGCUAACCCUUUUACCUUCGUUGGCUACCUUUUUAUAGGCUUCCUCUGAAUUCGGAUCUUCCGCAGUCCACGCCCGUCGUUCUCCCCACUCUCGGGUGUGGACGCCCCAUUACCGCCAUUGUCGGCGAAUGGAGAUGGACCUCGUGCCUUAAUUCUCGGAUAGGAAUGCACGUCCUGCCAACUGUCGUUGACUGGGUCUCCUCGCCUCGAUGCCUAGCAGGAAUGACCUUAUGCCUCUAACAGGAGUUCGGCCUCACGAAUGGCAUAUUCGUGGACGAGCAGAAUACUCCUGCUCGUAUUCCCCUGCUACUUGGCUCUUGCAGGAUACCCUUGCUCGCAGGACCCUGCCACCAACCACCCGCUCAUCAUGUUUGAUCGCCUCGAUGUAUUUCCCUCAAACACCGGUCCCCCAGUUUCUGGUGUUGGGUAAUGUAAUGGACCAGCAGUAGAAACUCAACGGUUCUUGCUCGCGUGGGACUGGAAAAGGCUGCCAAGAGUCGUGUCGCAUUUAAUUGCAGACGAGGUGAUGUGGCAGAAAUCUGCCCCUCUAUUUGAAUUUCAAACCAAUGGUUACGAGGCCCUUGGGGUUUGGUACCGUUAAAUGCUGGCAACCUAAGAGUCCGUCCCCUUUAUGAAACCCACCUCCUUUCGUACAGAAAAUUCAUCAUCCACUCCGUCUCCGUCUCUGUCUCUCCGGCAAAGAAGUUCCGGCAUAAGGGCCUCCAUCUCUGUCUUUCACCGACUGAAACAUUACUUCAGGUACUUCUUCUAUCUCCUUGGUCUCGGAUAGUUGUAGAUAAUUUCUCUUCUCUUUUGUUCGGGUAGUAGUUGGUGGUGGCGUUGUGGUUAGCGCUUAGGGAAUGUCGAAAGGUAAAGAGAAGGUCGUUGAGGUUGACGACGAUGAGUUGGACUUCCUGCCUAGUCUACUCACUGAUCCUGCUUUUGACCCCGGGAUCCCCUUAAAGCCCAUCAGAUCUAGUGUUGGUACUAGCGCUAGGAGGAUGUCUCCCCAAACAACCUCCUCGAGCGGAAAUAACGAUGAAGAAGGGUCUUCUGGAUCGGAGAACACCCCGAGUGAGGGUCGAGGAGAUGAUUCUGGUGAGGUGUCCCCAUCAGGAGCGUCGCGACCAGAAGAGAGGAGUACAAUAGGAGGUAGAGCCCUAUCGCGGGAUUACGCUAUUGAUUAUAUGACGUGCACGACCACGUUUGAUGAGCUCGAUGACCUCCGGCUUAGGUAUAGUAUUCCUGGUGAAAUACCUCUUAAGGUCUCAGGAAAGAAGGAUGCUCCUAGCCGGCCUCCUAGGGGAUAUGUUACCCUGUAUUUGGAUAGCUUUAAGUAUGGGCUGAGGUGUCCCUUGCAACCUUACUUUGCCCGGAUACUUAACGAGCUGAAUCUAUCUCCUGGUCAGUUGAACCCAAACGGUUGGAGAAUGCUCUCUGGUCUGUUCAUAUUGUGGGACAGAUGUUGCCUUGUGGGACAGAUGUUACCAAAGCGAGCCCACAAUUGAUGAGGUGAAGCAUCUGUACCAGUUGAAGAGCAGCCCCAAAGAUGCCGGCUGGUACUACUUCCAAUCUAGUACCAAGACCAGGAAACCUAUAACCGACCUCCCUACUGGUGGUGGUGGGAAUUGGAAGAGAAAGUUAUUUUUUGCUGGGGGUCCUUGGGGUCAGGUUGCACAAAUGGACGGGAAGGAUUAUCGGGUCCCACCCCGUUUCACGGUCCCAAGUUGCCUGCUCGCUUUAGAUGUCCUGUAUCCAUAAUUGUUCUUGCUUUAUUGGCUUGUCUCUAACCAAGUGUCUGUUUGUGUUGUAGUUUUUUGGGGUGUUCAUUUCCCGCUCCAACCUGGCCAGCUCAAACAGGUUGAGGCUGUGCUAGUCAAUUCCUGCCCGAGCUGAGAGCUGUUAACUACUUACAACUUGCUCGAGUCUCGCUUGAUACUACCUGGCCAUAAGAUGGAGGACGCUGUGAUUGGGGCUCUGAACAGGAAACGUUCUCGACCUCAAACCACGAAGAGGGACCAGAACAAGGACGCCCCUUCUGCAAAGCGGGCCAACAUCGUGCAGCAAGUCUCUCCCUUGAAGACUUUACCUCCUGCUCCUGCCAAAAUUGGGGAGACUAGUGGAGCAGCCACGGAUCCUGCUUCCUCUUCGCCUCUUGUCGGGCCUCGAUCUCGCUUACCUGACAGCCGAGCAGAACACUUGGUCCCCUACCUUAAUAAGUUCUCUAAACUCGUGAGCAAGAAAGACCUGGAGGACUUUGACGGCUGCACCUUGGGUGAGCUAGUGGGGGCCAUGCAGUAUAGCGCCUUCCACCUCAGCUGCAUGACCACCUAUUACAAGGCUAAGGUUAGCCGCAACGACCGGAAGAUGAAGGAGGAUAUUCAAUCGGCGACGACCAGAGCCGACGUUGCCGAGAAGAAAGCAGGGGAGCUGAAUCUCGAGAAUCUGAAGCUGAUAGAGCAAGAAUCACUUGCUCAAGCAAAGGCCAUUACCCUCGAGGAGGAGCUUACCAAGGUCAAGGAGGAUCUGCAAAGGCAGAAGGCUAUGUAUGACGCCCAGCUCGAAUCUCUCCGCGACUCCAACCGAGCUCAGGUCGAGAACUUGGAGAGGGAGGCCGAGAACCAGUACGACCAGGGACUUCGGCAUUCCUAUCGUUGCAUCAUGGCUGUCCUCGGGAAGCAACACCCUGAUCUGAAGAUGGAUGACCUUGCAGCUGAUGUUGCUCAACAUAUGGACGAGGAGGCGGCCAAGGAUGAUGCUGAAGGGGUAGAGCCGAUCGUGAUUGAGGAGGAAAACUCUCCUCCUCGUGCAGUCCCUGCUGAUGUUGGCGAGGCGAGUACCCCUCCGGACGCAACUGGUGAUACCCCCCCUGCACCUGAGGAGGUCCAGCCAACAGAUGUUGCUCGGCUUACUGAUCCACCAUCUUCUUGAUAUAUUUCUUGUAUUGUAAUGAACAAUUUUUGUGACGAUUAUCUCUUCUGUUAAUUACUAACAAUUAAUAAAGAUGUUUUUGAUUACUUUCUCGUGUUGUAAUCAUCAGUUAUUUUCCGUUUGGGAAUCUGCUCGUCUUUGUCUGGUCAAGCAGGUUCUGGCUUGGCAUAUGGUUUUGCCACAUGCCUUAGAAAAUUCUUCGAUGCUUGAGAUUCUGCUCGCCUUCGCGCGGUCGAGCAGACCCUGGCACGCUUGGCUUCUGUCUCGCCAUAAACAGGCUUUGAGACUUGACGAGUCUUUGCAUGCCUUGGAAAAUUUUUCGAUGCUUGGGGAUUCUGCUCGCCUUCGCGUGGUCGAGCAGAUCCUGUCACGCUUGGCUUCUGUCUCGCCAUAAACAGGCUUUGAGACUUGACGAGCCUUUGCAUGCCUUGGAAAAUUUUUCGAUGCUUGGGGAUUCUGCUCGCCUUCGCGUGGUCGAGCAGAUCCUGGCACGCUUGGCUUCUGUCUUGCCAUAAACAGGCUUUGAGACUUGACGAGCCUUUGCAUGCCUUAGGAAUUUUUACAACGUUUGGGAGUCUGCUCGCCUUCGCUUGGUCGAGCAGAUCCUAGCAAGCUUGGCUUCUGGUCUCGCCAUAAACAGGCUUUGAGACUUUGAUGAGUCUUUGCAUGCCUUCAAUUCUUCAAUGAUUGGGAUUCUGCUCGCCUUCUCGUGGUCGUGCAGAUCCUGGCACGCUUGGCUUCUGUCUCGCCAUAAAACAGGCUUUGAGACUUUGAUGAGCUUUUGCAUGCCUUCAAUUCUUCAAUGAUUGGGAUUCUGCUCGCCUUCUCGUGGUCGAGCAGAUCCUGGCACGCUUGGCUUCUGUCUCGCCAUAAAACAGGCUUUGAGACUUUGAUGAGCCUUUGCAUGCCUUUGGUUCUUCAAGGAUUGGGAUUCUGCUCGCCUUCUCGUGGUCGAGCAGAUCCUGGCACGCUUGGCUUCUGUCUCGCCAUAAAACAGGCUUUGAGACUUUGAUGAGCUUUUGCAUGCCUUCAAUUCUUCAAUGAUUGGGAUUCUGCUCGCCUUCUCGUGGUCGAGCAGAUCCUGGCACGCUUGGCUUCUGUUUCGCCAUAAAACAGGUUUUGAGACUUUGAUGAGCCUUUGCAUGCCUUAGAAAAUUUUCACAGUUUCAAGCGAAUGAAAUUCCUCAUUGAUUCAUUUAUUACUGAGUUCGGCUUACAUGAGGUUGCUUUGAAAUAAGAAAUCAAAAAUAGAAAGCAACGGACACGAACAGAAAAAAAACUUUAAAACAUGAAUGAGUCUUACUAGAAAUAUUUCCUGAGGUGUGCCGCGCUCCAGGGGCGUUUCACCUCGUGGCCCUCCGUGCGAACCAACUUGUAGACUCUGGGUCCAACUAGCUGUCAUUCCCGGCUUCCACUCGGGUACCAAGGUAUGUUAUCUGCAUUGCUUCCCUUGCUGCCGAGGAGUAACAGCGUCGUGCGAUUCUCUGGUCUCCUCGUACCACUCCAACUACCCCAUUCACCCGGUACUUGAGAGCCAGAUAAUGGUUGGACAGCACCGCUUUGCUCAUCCUCAGAAAUGGCCGGCCUAGGAUCAUCUGAUAAGGACCUUCCUCAUCCACUACCACAAAGUCCAGUAUCAUUGUCGUUUCUGUCGGGGAGCUCCUAAUCGUGAUAGGCAGCUCGACCACGCCCAGAGGAACCAGCUUUCCUCCUCCAAACCCCUUCAAGGAGGUAUUGGUGUAUUCCAACUUCCGGUCUGCUAUUCCCAUCUCCUCCAAGGUUGACUUAAAUAACACAUCAACUGAACUCCCUGUAUCAACCAGUAUCCGGUCACACUUCUUGCUAGCGACAGUAGCCUUGAUGACUAAAGCAUCCUCGUGGGGGUAUAGAAUUCCUUCCUCAUCUUCAUCCGUCCACAUGAUUGGUACUUGCCUGACCCUUGCUCGUUUGGCUGCUGGGGUGUUGAAGAAUACCUCUUUACUAGUCAUGGCGUAUCUAGCAUAGUUCUUCCUAGAUCUGUUGGAAUCUCCAGCCAAUGUCGGGCCCCCAGCAAUCACCCUUACUGUAGGCUACUCGUGCCUCAAAUUUCUGCCACUCUGCUCCCCUUCACAUCUCGAGGCCACCAUCGGGAAAGUUCCAUCUACAAACUCGUCCAGGUACCGAUUUCUCACCAAAUCUUCAACCUGGGUCUUGAGAUCUUUGCAUUCGGCGGUGGUAUGGCCAUGAGUGCCAUGGAACUUACAAUGGCGUCCCCUAUCCCUCAUGCCGGGUAGCUUUGUUAUUGGGGCAGGGAGGUACAGCAAUCCUCGGUCCUUUAUGGCCUCGUACACUUCGUCCAGGGACAUCUUCAAGGAGGUGUAUCGCCCAUACUCCUGGUUCUGGUCAAUCAGGUGCACAUCCCUUUCUCUAUUUGCUCCGUUCUGAGUUGGAGGCGAUGGCAGCAUUUCUGGUCUGCUCCCUCUACUACUGUGGGAGUGUUGAUGAAGACCACCAUAUGUCGAAUCAUGCCUUCUCCAAGGCUCCCUAGCUGGGGAACGAGGAGGGUGCGCCCUGCUGCGCUGAUACUGUGGUGGCCUCUGAUGAGGCUGGUGAGCUGUUAUCCGACCUCCUGUUCCACUACCUGAGGCCUGGAGGUCCCUCCUCCUGAUCGGCCCAUUUCCCGGUAAUGCCCUCUUCUCUUUCUUUUCCAGCCCCUCCAGCUGGUCUGUCUUAAUCCGAGCUGCCUUUUCUUCCUCGAUCUCUAUGUCUCUUUUAGCCUGCUCGUAUGCGGCUGCAUACGUCUGAAUAGCUGGGCUUCUCAAGUUGUACCACAGCCUUCAUAUCUUCACUCCCUCUUUCAAUCCCCUUAGUGCCUGAGGAUGGUCGAAGGCUCCCAAAUCGAGGACAGCACGAUGAAACCUCUUGAUGAAUUCCCGAAGGGUUUCUUGCUCCCCUUGCUUCAUGCUUUUCAGCUCCAUCAUGUCAUCUUCUGGUGCCAUUGCCCCACGAAACUGCUCUGCAAACUCCUGGCACAUCUGCUCGAAGGUUUUAAUGCUCCCCCGAGGAAGUUUCAUGUACCACUCUCGUGCACGUCCCUCAAGGGAUAGUGGGAACACCCUGCACCUUUGGGAUUGAGAUAAUCCUUGUACCCCAGUUAUGUCGUUGAAACGCUCUAUGUGCACCAGCGGAUCCGUUCGUCCCGAAUACCUAAGGUCUGGGAGGCGGAAAUCUCUCGGAAUAACUGCCCUCAUGAUCUCUGCUGCGAGCGGUGAUUCUCCGUCCAGCAUUAUCCUCCAACCAGGAGCUCUGCUCCUUCCUUGCAUGUCGUCAAUUAUCUGCGCUAGUCUGCGCACUUCCUCCUCCAGCUGCACUGCGCGACCAGGGUCACGUGCUGCAGCUUGAUCCCGCUCUUGCUCUACAUCAAGCAAGUGUUGCCUCAACUCUGUUUCCUCUGCAUUUGCCACCCCGUCGUCCUCGUCAAAAAUCUGUCUUGCCGGGGAUUGCUCUUCCUCUCUACGGAAUUCUCCCUGCAGAGGUAUGUUACCUCUCUCACCACCAAAUCUCCCGGUGGUUUGACUUCUCCUCGUACUAUCGGGACCUGGAGCCACUCCCCCAACUCUCAUCCUUUCCUCCUGGGUUACCCUUCGUUCACUCUGCAACUCAUGCAGGAUGGUUGUCAGGGUCUCCAUCUACUUUUCCAUCCGUUCCAUCCGGUCGAACAUGGCUUUUUCCCGUGCUUCACUGGCUAUCUCCCUCAGAGUCACGGAAUCGUUAAGCCUCAUAUCACUCCCUUGUGCACUACUUUCUCCUGUCUCCAUUGCUUUUCACUUGCUUCACUCCUCUUCUUGCUAUCAACAGAAGCUUUUUGCUCAGCUCCCCACAGACGGCGCCAAAAUGUUGAUGCGAGAUUCUGGUUAUGCUCGUUCUACGACCAGGAUAUCUGCUCGAUCAACCUCACCUCGAUCAGGAUCUCUCCUCGUAUGCUUUCUUCUCCAAGUAUCCCUGCGUUCACAGAAACGAGUCAGAGCACGCCGGUUGUUUUCCCGGCGUAAACCCUCCGACGCUCAAGUCAGAUGUGAAGGCUCUGGGAACGCUUGCCACAGAUCUUAUGGCUUGUCUAUAAUCUCAGUUCUUAGAGUUCUCUUUUCUUAGUUCAAAAAUAAAAAAUGCUAACCCUUUUACCUUCGUUGGCUACCUUUUUAUAGGCUUCCUCUGAAUCCGGAUCUUCCGCAGUCCACGCCCGUCGUUCUCCCCACUCUCGGGUGUGGACGCCCCAUUACCGCCAUUGUCGGCGAAUGGAGAUGGACCUCGUGCCUUAAUUCUCGGAUAGGAAUGCACGUCCUGCCAACUAUCGUUGGCUGGGUCUCCUCGCCUCGAUGCCUAGCAGGAAUGACCUUAUGCCUCUAACAGGAGUUCGGCCUCACGAAUGGCAUAUUCGUGGACGAGCAGAAUACUCCUGCUCGUAUUCCCCUGCUACUUGGCUCUUGCAGGAUACCCCUGCUCGCAGGACCCUGCCACCAACCACCUGCUCAUCAUGUUUGAUCGCCUCGAUGUAUUUCCCUCAAACACUACAUCUCCCAAAAAAGGUACUUGGUAAAUGGAGGCUGCCAUAACGUCACCUGCUGAAUUGCGAACUAGGACUCUAAUUCCAGCAUGGUCAGCCUUGGAACUGACUCCUGCAUCAACGUUCACUUUAUACCAUGGCUGGGGCGGACUUUGCCAAGUCUGACUUGGGUUAUUUGUCUUAGACCUCGUAUCGACUUGACCUUGCGUUAUACCUGCUCUAAGUGAAGCCACUACAUUCUCAACUCGAGUGAUAACGUCUUGCGGCUCACGAACAAUAUUACCAUGGGUUAGAUAAUUUCUCGCUAACCAAAUCGACCAGCAAAAAACCACAUAUUCCUCAAAUUCAUCUUUUGUUAAAAGUGAUGCAAUAUGAUGGAAAGGUUAGAAAAUUCCAUUGGCAUUGUACUAUUGAGGCUAGAAUAGAACCUCGUCAACUUCCAAACUUUUUUCACUUGUUUACACCCCCACCAAGGCAUAAUAUGUAUCGUCAUAAUCAAAACCACAACAAGGGCAUGUAAGAGCAAUUGGAAGCUUCCUGUUAUGUAAAUUUAAAUUGGUGGGCAGAAUGUUGGAAAAAGCUCGCCAAUAAAAAAUUUUGAUCUUUGUUGGGAGAGAUAAUUUCCAAAAAUACUUCUACUACCCUAUAUGAUUACUAGAAGCAGAUGACAUAUCUGUAACUUUCAUAUGAAAUGCCACAUAAUAACCACUGUUGACUUUAUACUGACCCCGCUUGUCGUGUGUCCACACCAGCUGGUCUUUCAAUGGUCUUCUAGGCAACGGGAUUGUGAGAACUCGGUUUGCGUCUUCAUCAAGAAAAUGAUUCCUUAUCAUUUGUUCUUUCCAGCAGCCUUCGUCCUUAAUUAAAGUUGAUACUGAAGAUUGUGAAGGCAGACGCUGUAGGGAUAAUGGGUUAAAUGUAGUCGGACAUGGAAGCCACCUGUGAUGAUAAAUAGAUACUUGUUUGUAAUCUCCAAUUCUCCAUCGCGAUCGAACUUCAAUAACUUCGCGUCCCCACAACAUGCUUCUCCAUAUAUAGGAUGGGUUACUGCCCAGGUUACUCUCAAUGAACCCACAUUUUGAAUGAUAUUGUGCUUUAAGAAUUUUAGAGACUAGAGAAUUGGGAAAGGAAAUUAAUCGCCAACAUUGUUUCGCUAUGAAGGCUCAAUUGAAAAAGCUCAGCUCUCGAAAGCCAAGGCUCCCAUUUGUUUUUUAAAGGCAAAGUUUCAACCAUGGCAACCAAUGAAGACUCCUUGAGGAUGAAUUAUGACUCCACCAGAAUCGUGUAAUUAUUUUUUGUAGUUCUUCACAAAAACUAAGAGGGAGCUUGAAGACACUCAUUGCAUAGGUGGGGAUAGCCUAAGCAACAGCUUUAAUUAGUACUUCCUUACCUCCACUGGAGAAGAGUUUGGCUUUCCAAUCAGUAAUCUUGUGCAGAAUCCUAGCCUUCAAAGUAUUAAAAGAACUCUUUUUACUUCAACCCAACAUUGACAAAAGGAAUAGAUACUUUUCAUAAUGAGAGACAACCUCGAGGUUGAGUAUUCCGUUAAUUGCCUCCCUAAUAUUCUCUGGAGUGUUUGGAAAGAAACAUACAGAUGAUUUUUCAUAAUUGAUUACCUGUCCUGAGGCUUUACUGUACGUGUCAAACAACUCUUUAAGAUGAUAACAUGCUGCAACUGAAGCUUUGGAAAAUACCAAGCUAUCAUCUGUAAAAAAUAAGUGGGAAAUAGUAGAGCCUUUAGGAUCGAACUUAAUGCCCUGAAUUAACUUGGUAUUUUCAGCUUUAAUUAAUAAAGAAGAUUAAGAUUAUGCACAAAGGAUAAAAUAAGUAAGGGGAAAGCGGACAUCCCUGUCUUAGUCCUCUCUGAGGUUGGACGAAGCCUCUAACUUCACUAUUAAUCAAGAAAGAGAAUGUAGUGGACGUGAUGCAUUUCAUCAUGAGACAAACCUAUCUUGUUGAGAGCCCGAGCUUGAACAUGAUGCCUUCCAAAAAACACCAUUCUAUUCUGUCAUAUGCUUUACUUAUAUAUAAUUUAAGAGCAACCAAUCCUUCUUUGCCUUGUCUCUCGCAUCUGAUUUUGUGGAGACACUCGUAGCCAAUUAUAACAUUGUCAGUGAUGUGUCGUUGUGGAAUGAAGGCUGAUUGGAAAGGGGAAAUCAAGUGUUCUAAGAAAACUUUUAGCCGAUUUGCAAUGCAUUUAGAUAUGAUUUUAUAAAUGAUAUUACACAAACUUAUUGGCAUGUAUUCAUGGACUCUCUUUGGCUCUUUCACUUUCGAAAUCAAGACCACAUAUGUAUGGUUUAUUAUAGAUAAAUCUUCAUCUCCAUUCAAAAUCUCCAAGCAAGCUGUAGUUACAAAAUGGCACAUUACAUUCCAGUGGCGCUGAAAGAAUGUUGCUGAUAGUCCAUCAAGGCCUGGAGCCUUUGACGGAUGCAUUUGAAAUAGGGCUGAUUUGAUUUCCUCUGGUGAAAACUCCUUAUCUAACUCGGAAUUCAUCUCAGCAGUAACUUUAGGCUCAAGAGAUUGAAGAGCCAAUUCCACGUUCAACUGGGAAGGAGUAGAUGAUGUAAACAAUGUCGUAAAAUAAUUGGAGAACUCAUUUUCUAUGUCUAAUAUGUCUUCCCGCCACUGAUUAUUAAUGUCCAAGAGGCUAUCGAUAGUAUUUUUUCGCUUCUUGCUAGAAGCUUUGGCAUGAAAAUAUCUAGUGUUGCGAUCCCCUUCCUUAAGCCAAACGGCUUUAGAGCGUUGCCUCCAAUAUAUUUUCUCAUCCCUUAGGAAAUCAUCAAGUUGCGUUUCCACUGCUAGAAUUCCAUGAUAAUUCUAGUAGGGAUAAGAUUUUAAGCAAGUAAGCUUUGUGGUCAAAACUUGCAAUAUACACUUUUUAUCCUCGAAUUUCUUUCGACUCUACUCUUGUAGUUUGGCUCACACAACAUUGGCAUUCUGUAGAAACAUAGAGACUAAAUUACAAUGGCCUUCACUGUGGCUAGAAAGCCAUUCACGCUCUACUAUAUGGCGACAUUCAUCAUAAUUGUUCCAAUAGUCUUCGAAAAUAAACAUUCUUCCACAAUGACGUCUUUUUGUAGAAAGAGAGGUGUUGCGCUUCCAAAACUCUACUAGAAUUGGAGAGUGAUCAGAGCCCCAAUGGUCAAUGUUUAUCAUUGAUACUGCUCUGUAAGUGUCCUGCCAAGAAGAUGAACCCACAAAUCUAUCAAGUCGUUGUUGUACCAACAUGUUUUCUCUUAUAUUAUCCUAUGUAGCCCAAAUCUGAGAGAUCACACACCCUAAGAGUUUCUUUGAACUCCAACAUUGUGUCAGUGUACUGAAUUGGACCACCCUAUUUUUCGUUCAUAUGCAAGAUUUGAUUAAAAACCCCGCCACAUAUCCAGGGAGCUGAGGAGAGUUGGGCUAAUCGACGCAACAAGGUCCAUGUAUGUUGCUUUUCUACAUGCUCAGGAUGGCCAUAUAUGCCUGUGAACCGUAAUAAUUCAUCCCCAUUAGUAAUAACAGUAUCUAUAUGGUGCUUGAAAUAUGAGAGGAUCUUCAGAUCAAUAUCUUCAUUCUAUAAAACAGUUAGAUUACCUCCGAACCCAUUUUACUAAGAAAAUGUGAGAGAAGUGAAACUUAUAUUUUAGGACGUCCGAUUGCUUCACUAUCAGCUUAGUCUCGCUUAAAAAUACUACAUGAAGCUCAUAUAUGUGGAGUACUUCCUUGAGUGCUCGGACCGUUCGAGGGUUCCCUAGUCCCCGAACGUUCCAACAUAUGAUAUUCAUUGUUCUCGGCGGGGCUGGAGGGCUAGAGGCCAGCACCUGCCGUUUCCUGCUUAAUUGAAGAGGGCUUAAAUAAUGAGUGUGAGGAAUGGACAAUAAAAGUAUUACUAGGCUCCUGCUCAAUGCCGGUAGAAACGUGAUCUGCGAUUAAUCGCUUAAGCUCGAGUUCCAAAUCCACUGAUUUGUCACUGACCCUUUGCCGUUUAAAUUUGGGAUUUGGACCGAAUGAGGAGGUUACUUUGAACCCAGAAUUUUGGGCCAUACACUUCCACUUUCUUGCUGGGCUUGUCUCUUUAGAUGGCUUGGUACUAGGCUCUUUGGUAAGGUGUGAUCGGCUGGAUUGAGAAGCCUGUGAGGUAUUUUCAUUUUGCUUCUCUCUAGUGUUAGGCUUGUUUGGUGAGGGCUCCAUUGUUGGGUGUGCGGCUAAGAAUUCGUGAGAUGCAUCCCGAUAAUGUUCAGAGAGUGAUGAUGUUGAAAUUAAUGCAGCUGGAUCCGCGGCUUGAUUUUUCUGCCGCGUGUCCAUAUCUCUAGAGCAUCCUGCUAGCAGUACAUAUGUUUUUUUUUUAUCUUCACGACUAGUUAUUGCUGACGUCAUCCCUUCUACAUUAUUCGGUGAGGCGGUCGCCGUUGUGCUCGUGUUCUACACUGUAGCAGAUCGCUUCUCUUUGCUCCGGGCAUCUCUUGGCUUCACUGAUGAAUUACGUAACUUAAGCAAAUGGUUAUACUUGAGAUCUUGAUCAGCUGGUGAUCCACUAGUAGGAGGGAUAUGACAUUCUCGAUAGAGAUGUCCUAUAUAUGUAGCCACACUUGAAGCAAAAAUCAAGCAAGCGUUCAUAGAAUAUUGCAAACUGCAUAACUUCAUUACAUCCUCCCAAUUUAGCUCUAAUUCCUCGUUUCAGCGGUUUCGUUACACUUACAUCCAUCAAUAUUCUAACUUGUGUACAAUUACUAAGGCAUGUCCCAGUCGACCCUGAGUCCACUUCUAAAACUUUCCCAAUCCUUUUACCCAAAAUUUCUCCAGUCUCUACAGUCAUACAAACUAUUGGAAUGUUGUGAAUUUGCACCCAAAAAGGGGCUCUGCUAAAAUUCAACUUUGAGAGCUCUCCCGUCCCUUGAGGUUCUGUUAAGAUUAAGAGAGCUCUGUCAAAAAGCCACGGCCCACCAGUUAAGACUCGUUUCCUUUUUGCUGCUGAUUGAAACUGAAAAAUAAAAGUAUUGUAAGCCUUUUCGUUUUCACCUCGUGAAUGGUACGCCAAAAUUGCUGAAUGGCUGAUUUGAAACCUUCGCAGCAAAUGGACUCGUUGGUUAAAACUUUCCCUACCAAGCAUUGUUCUAGUUUCUGUACUCCCGCAUCGUUUGCACGCCCUCAAUAGUAAUCACCUCACCGUCCUCAUCAGAGAGUUAGUGCUUCACAGAACCGAGUUAAUUCGUUAGAAUCCAUGUGAAUGAAGUGAGUAAUUAGAGAGCACUAAGUUGGAGAGACGAGGUUGAAAAGUGUGGAUGGAGAAAAAGAAGAAUGAAAAGCACUCCUGUUGAGUGAUUGAAACACACCCGUAGUGUGAAGAAGCCCUUCGAAUAAGAGAAUUCUGUAUAAGAAACCGUUUUGAAAUUUGAAGGGACUAAAGUGUAAAAUGACUUUACUUUUUGAGUAAGUAGUAAUAAUUAGUAACAAUGAACAUCUCAAAUUUUUUUUAUCUCAAAUGAAUAAUAAUGUGUUAUUAAUUAAAUAGUUAAUAAUUCUCUACGAGAUCUAACUGAAUUAAAUGUGGUAUCUUACUAAUUAAUUAAUGAGUACUACAUUAUUUGAGAUAAUUUUUUUAAAUUAAAAAAAUUUUGUAAUACUAUUAUUUAAAUCACUCGUUGUAGUGGAAGUAUCACUUAAGCAUUAAAGCAAGUCAAUGUUUAUAUAUAAAAUUUUAUUUUUAAAAUAUUUAAUAUUUUAAGUAAUUAAAAAAAUAGUAAUACUAUAUAUAACAUACCAAUUUAGAAUUUUUGAAUCAACGUGCUUUAUUGAGAUUCUGUCUAGCAAUCAAAUUUGUUAUAACAUAACUUUUAUAAUGUAAUUAAUUUUUGUAUGGAAUGAUUUUCAAGCAAUAUUUUUUAGUUGGUCAUUUGAGUUUGGACGUUGAUGAAAUAGCAAUUAAAGUUAAUUAAAGUUUUAAUAACCCCUUCACAACCUAGAGAAAGAAAAAAAAUUAACUAUUAUAGAUGGUAGACAUAUUGAUUUUAGGGAAUUUUAAUAAUAGUAAUAAUUCGACAAGAAAGGGAAAUCAAGAGGAUGUGAUGUGAAAUGAGAAAAAGGAAAAAAAAAAAGAGAAAAUCAAGAUAGAAACAAAUGCAGACACAUUAUGAAGCUGCAAUUUACGAAGCUGUUCUUUUGCUGGUGUUUGUUGGAAUCAUGUAUAUAUUGGCUAAAAUGAAUUUCACAAAUUAUUUAAUUGAAAGAGAUACUUUUUACAGCUAAACAUGGCAAAGGCGUCAAAGGGUACAUUUGUAAUAAGCAAAAAGUCUCAGCUGAAAUACCACCUUUGACCCUUCAGAUACCGCCAAAAAGACAAAUAGAAUAACUGUUUCUUACUGCUCGCGGAUACGAAACGACGCUGUUUUACCUUGUAACUAGGAGAAGUCUCUGCCUUAGCCAUUUGCCAACCAUGAACGUUGAGAGCCUGGUAGACACUUUUGACAGUAGCUAAAAUGGCUUCAAGAGACUCGGAUUAUGGAGCUUUCAUGGAGAAAUUUGUUCUUCAACCAAGCUCUUCGGCUCAUCAACUUCCUUUAAGUGGCCUCACUUUUGCAAUUAAAGACAUGUAAGUCUUCAGAUAACUUGAACACAUAACAUAAAUGAAUUUAUUUUGAUUCUUUCUCAUUAAAUCACUCUUUUUCAUGAUGGGUACAUAAUAUUUUGUAGAACCAUUCUUGUUCUCAUGUGCAUUUAAUUUCAUACAAUAUUGUAAUCGUUUCACCUUUUGGGUAUGCUAAAAUUGUUUACAAGCUCUUAAAUUCCUUUUAAUUUCUUGUAGGAUUGUGUCUUUGGUAAUGUACUUACCAAUUUCAACUCUUGGAGAAGUGUCUAUGCUAACUAUUGCAUCAAUUGCAGUGUAUUUAUAUUAUCUUAAUGCUCAAUGUGUGUGUUUUUGCAAGCUCAUAUACUCUGUGCAGUUGGCUGUUGAUAUUUUAUCUUGAAUUUUUGGAAGCAGAUUUGAUGUGGAUGGACAUGUUACUGGAUUUGGAAAUCCUGAUUGGGCAAGGACUCAUUCUGCUGCCACAUCAACUGCGCCUGCUGUUUUGGCUGUGUUAAGUGGAGGUGCCACAUCUAUUGGUAAAACUAUCAUGGAUGAAAUGGCAUACAGGUUAGAGUUCAAACCAAUUCAUUGUUUCAGCUGUAUAGGAAUUCAAUUUAACUAUGUUUUCUAGUGAUUUUAGUGAAAUAUUGUUCGCUUGCUCUUCUGAGUUGACUCUGGUGAAGACAUUAUGCUUGAUGAAAAAAAUACUGGAUUAGUUUAUUCUAUAUUCUUGGUUACAUAGAUGAUGUCAAUUCUGCGGCUCUUUUAUGCAUAAUUCAUUUGUUACGUUACAUAAACUCUGGAUGAUCAUAUUAUUUCAGUAUAAAUGGAGAAAAUAAGCAUUAUGGAACACCCACAAAUCCAUGUGCACCAGACCGGGUACCUGGAGGAUCUUCUAGUGGAUCUGCUGUCGCAGUUGGUGCUAAGCUUGUGGACUUUUCCUUGGGUCAGUAUCUCUUUCUUUAACAAUUCCUAUGUGUUGUGAUUUUUGCUUCGGUAGCUAGACUACAAGGAAAAUGUUCUGUCCAUCUCAGGAACUGAUACUGGUGGAAGUGUAAGGGUCCCUGCCUCGUAUUGUGGGAUUUUCGGGUUUCGGCCUUCACACAGUGCUGUUUCUACUGCUGGAGUUAUUCCUAUGGCACAGAGUUUCGACACUGUAGGUAAGGAACUGAUGCUAUUUUAUUGAUGCGCACUUCAGUCACACAUAUUAUUCCCUGGUUAUUUUAUAUAUGAAACUUCAUAAUUUGCAGCAUGUCUUCAGUAUGGUUUCCUUGUUUUACACUGAAUUCUCAUCUAGGAUGGUUUGCUUGGGAUCCUAAAAUUUUGAAUCGGGUUGGACGUGUUCUACUCCAGCUCGCUGAUGAUGUAAAUCUGGUCAGACCAAGUCAGGUGAUCUUUGCCGAAGAUUGCUUGCAACUUUCAAGCAUUCCAAGUGAUCGAGUAACUCAAGGUCUAGUUAAAUCAGUGGAGAAAUUAUUUGGUGGUGGGUAGAUUUUCCAGCUAAUACCAGUCAAGUCCUGUAGAAAAUUUGGAAUUCAUUCACCACGUCAGACACAGAAUGGUAGUAAUAUUUGAUUUGUUGUGUGCAGGUCACAUUAUAGAGAAUGUGAUUCUUGGAGACUAUGUGAAGGACAAAGUUCCCAGUUUGCAGCAUUUCUUAAGCGAAGGAAACAAAGAGCAGGAGUAUAGCAUACCAUCCUUGGCAGCCCUUUCAAGUGCCAUGAGGUUGCUACAAAGGUGCUUGUGUGAACAGAACUUAAACUUCUUAACAUAUUCUGCUAACUCAAAAUCUUGUUUUAUUGUUCAUUGAAUGUUGAAUUUUGUUAUAAUUUGGAGCAUAGGUAUGAAUUCAAGAAUAACCAUGGCGAUUGGGUGACUACAGUCAAACCUGAUUUAGGCCCAGGAAUAUCAGAAAGAGUGUGGGAAGCUGUUAGAACUUCUGCGCAAAAGAUUGAUGUAUGUCAAUCUGUAAAGACUGAACUACGUGCUGCUCUCAGUGCACUUCUUGGGGUACCCUCUCUUUCUCUUCCUGUCUCAAUUUUUCGAAGCAAAAAAUCUGUUCUUCAAAGCUUAUAACUUCCUUUGCAAGAAAUCUCUUAAUAACUUCAUUGGAUGUGCUAUUACUAGCUAAAAGAAAUGUUGUAAUCCUAUUUACAAAAGAAAGGCAUCGCUCAUUUACAAAUUAUAUUCUUCCAGGACCACGGUAUCCUUGUUAUCCCUACAGUUCCUGGUCCUCCACCAAAGCUACAGAUGGAUCCAUCGGCAUUGGAAGUUUUUCGUGCCCGGGCUUUUAGCUUGCUGUCCAUUGCUGGAGUAUCAGGAUUCUGCCAGGUCUCUUUCUUCUUUGGUUUCUAUAAUAAAAUUCUUCUAAUAUUUUUUUUCCCUUGCGAAUCAUGUUCUAAUUUCUACAUAUAUAUACAGGUAAGCAUACCACUAGGACUGCAUGAUAAUCUACCUGUGGCAAUUUCCUUGUUGGCUAAGCAUGGUUCAGAUGGGUUCUUGCUCAACCUUGUCGAGACUCUUCACAACACCCUUAAAGAAGAGCUUCAAAGAAUGAGUUAAGGAGUUACUAAACUGGGAUUUCCAACAAUCUCUCUGUAAGUUCUAUGUCAUUCUCCAACCUAACCAAAAAAAUAAGUAAAUAAAAUAAAAUAUUAGAGAGAAAAACUGAGCAUAAAAGCCUAUUGUGUAUGCACUUCAU